UACGGAGGGUGCAAGCGUUGUCCGGAUUUAUUGGGUUUAAAGGGUGCGUAGGCGGUCUUUUAAGUCAGUGGUGAAAUCCUCCAGCUUAACUGGAGACUGCCAUUGAUACUGGGAGACUUGAGUACAGACGAGGUAGGCGGAAUUGACAGUGUAGCGGUGAAAUGCAUAGAUAUUGUCAAGAACACCGAUUGCGAAGGCAGCUUACUAGACUGGUAACUGGCGCUGAGCACGAAAGUGUG
rnacentral:rRNA from 1 species